rnacentral:misc_RNA from 1 species
AUCAAACUGAGGCUGAUUGCUGAUGCAUCCAGCGUAGAGAGAGACUGAAGACAAAGCUGUAGUGGGUUGCUGAUUCCUUCAAGCAUCUUCUUGUUACGAGAGAGAGAGAGAGAGUGAAAGGCGAAGAAGCUAACGUUGUAAGGAUCGUCCCUGCACAGUCAAAACAUAAGCGCCCGUCGAUUGAUGGACAUGGAUAGAUUUUUAACGAAUUUUCAGUGUUUAGAAAUAUAGGAGACGAG